rnacentral:rRNA from 1 species
GAGUGGCAGACGGGUGAGUAACACGUGGGAACAUACCUUUUGGUUCGGAACAACUGAGGGAAACUUCAGCUAAAACCGGAUAAGCCCCGAGGGGGAAAGAUUUAUCGCCAUUAGAUUGGCCCGCGUCCGAUUAGCUAGUUGGUGGGGUAAAGGCCUACCAAGGCGACGAUCGGUAGCUGUUCUGAGAGGAAGAUCAGCCACACUGGGACUGAGACACGGCCCAGACUCCUACGGGAGGCAGCAGUGGGGAAUAUUGGACAAUGGGCGCAAGCCUGAUCCAGCCAUGCCGCGUGGAUGAAGAAGGCCCUAGGGUUGUAAAGUCCUUUCGGUGGUGAAGAUAAUGACGGUAACCACAGAAGAAGCCCCGGCUAAUUUCGUGCCAGCAGCCGCGGUAAUACGAAAGGGGCUAGCGUUGUUCGGAAUUACUGGGCGUAAAGCGCACGUAGGCGGCAUUGUAAGAUGGGGGUGAAAUCCCCGGGCUCAACCCGGGAACUGCCUUCAUGACUGCAAAGCUCGAGGAUGCGAGAGGUGAGUGGAAUUCCGAGUGUAGAGGUGAAAUUCGUAGAUAUUC